rnacentral:rRNA from 1 species
CAGCCGCCGCGGGAAUACGAAGGGUGCAAGCGUUAAUCGGAAUUACUGGACGUAAAGCGUGCGCAGGCGGUUGUGUAAGACAGGUGUGAAAUCUCCGGGCUUAACCUGGGAACUGCGCUUGUGACUGCACAGCUAGAGUAUGGCAGAGGAGGGUGGAAUUCCACGUGUAGCAGUGAAAUGCGUAGAGAUGUGGAGGAACACCGAUGGCGAAGGCAGCCCCCUGGGCCAAUACUGACGCUCAUGCACGAAAGCGUGGGGAGCAAACAGGAUUAGAUACCCCUGUAGUCCCUGUCUCUUAUAC